UACGGGGGGGGCAAGCGUUGUUCGGAAUUACUGGGCGUAAAGGGCGCGUAGGCGGCCUGCUAAGUCGGACGUGAAAUCCCUCGGCUCAACCGAGGAACUGCGUCCGAUACUGGCGGGCUCGAAUCCGGGAGAGGGAUGUGGAAUUCCAGGUGUAGCGGUGAAAUGCGUAGAUAUCAAGAGGAACACCAGUGGCGAAGGCGAGUCCCUGGACAACACCUGACACUGAGGCACGAAAGCCGGGGGAGCAAACAGG
rnacentral:rRNA from 1 species